UAUGUAGCUAGCUAGCUACGAUCAAACAAAUCAAACCGUUGUACUGUAAUGAAGUGAAAUGAAAAUGUGAUACUACCUGUGGAGCGAAGCGGAAUGUUGACCGGGUUGUUGAAGUUCUAUUCAGUAGACGUUGGCUAGCUGUUGGCUAGCUAGCUAGCAGUAUCUCCUACGUUAAGGACGACAAAUAGCUGGCUAGCUAACCUCGGUAAAUUAAGAUAAUCACUCUAAGUCUACACACUCUAAACUACACAAUUAUCUUGGAUACGAAGACAGCAAAGACAGCUAUGUAGCUAGCUAACACUACACUAAUCGAGUCGUUCAGUUGAGUGUAAUAGUUUCUACAGUGCUAGUAGACGGUGGACGUUAGCUAGCUGCUGGGCAGAUAGCAGUGUAGACUACGUUAGGACGACGAAAUAUGAUAAUUACGCAAUUAUCUUUGAUACAAAGACGGCUAUGUAGCUAGCUAAGAAGAAAUUGCUAAGAUUAGACAAAUCAAACCGUUGUACUAUAAUGAAAUGUAAUGAAAAUGUAAUGAAAAGUUAUACUACCUGCGGACCGAAGUGUAGAUGCGACCGCUUGCUCCAACCCAAUCGGCAGCUAGCUAACUGUUUCGUACUCGCUUUAUCACAAGUUGAAUUUGGCAGGCUUGUAAGACUGUUCCUCGAACAUGACAACAUAAUAUAGUGACUAGCUGGAAUUAUGAGUAUUUUAUUGAACUAAUUAGGCCGUCAAUAUUUCGGGACAGUGAAUGCGAGUUCAAUAGUCUGUUUGCUGUAGUUUGGGACCUGCUUCAAGUAAGUUGUGGUCAUGAUCCAAUAUUUUCAUAAUAUACUUUGAAAUUAGCAUUGCAGGAGUAUUGGUGAAAAUGUUUGUAGUCAUCCUUAUAUAAUGUGUCAUGAUUGAAAUUCAAAUGUAAUGCUUUUUCAUCCGUUUUGGCCUUAUCUCGUACCAGUAACUGCUUUCAGACCUAGUCAUGCUGAUCAGGGUGAAAUUCAAUGGUGAACAAAAAUAUGUCAAGAUCAUUUACCUGACACUUGAAGACCUUUUGAUUGGAGCUUUCCUGACAUUUGAGAUCCCACUUACUAGUUUAUCAGAGGCAAAGCUGUAUGAUGGGUCUGGAACUGAAGUUGAUGGGGAUGUGUUUGAGGAGGCGGUGACACGGCCAAAUCUUGGAGUUUUCAAGCUCACCCUGUACAAUGAUGCUAAAGCUAAUAGAGAGCAUACUGAAGAAAAAGCCUGGUGGAGAGGUUAUCAUCAAGGAGUACUCCAAAACUAAAAGCCUGACUGACUGCACCAGACAAAAUAUGAACAACAUUCUUGUUUCGGCGAUGACAGAGACUCAUGGGACAUCACCACGGCGCAGUGUGAGAGAAACAUUUGCACAAGGCAUUGUCUCCUUGUUUCCGUACCUGAAGGAUCCCUACACCGCAUAUGGAUAUUUCUCUUAUAGAAUCAAAACCAUUCAGAGGAAUUUGGCUUCAUCAGAGAAACGGCCGACUCAACUAUACUCUGGAUGGCCAACUGUUGAGAGGGAGUCCAGUCCAUCCACUUUGGCUACCCUGAGUUAAGACCAGUGCCGAGAGGCCAUUUCUCUUAUGAAGCAUUGUUCUGAUGAGGAAACAGUCAAACAGAAGAUGAAAUUGACCUUUGAGUACAGGAAGAAGUUGACCCACGACCCGAGUAAAUGCUCCACCAUCCUAACCGAAUUUCCACGCUUUCUUAAUGUGAAGGGCUUGAGGGGGCCAAUAACAUUCAAGCAAAAGAUCAUCAUGCUAAGCAAGGCGACUCAGGGACCUGAACUUCAGGAGCUGAUCCAGAUGGCAGAAUCUGCAGUUGAUGAGGGAGCUGACAUGAAUGCUGAUGAUCAUAAUUUAUCCUUUAUACACUGCUCAAAAAAAUUAAGGGACACUAAAAUAAACACAUCCUAGAUCUGAAUUAAAUAUUUUCUUAUGAAAUACUUUUUUCUUUACAUAGUUGAAUGUGCUGACAACAAAAUCACAAGAUCAAUGGAAAUCAAAUUUAUCAACCAAUGGAGGGCUGGAUUUGGAGUCACACUCAAAAUUAAAGUGGAAAACCACACUACAGGCUGAUCCAACUUUGAUGUAAUGUCCUUAAAACAAGUCUGUCACAUGUGCUCAGUGUGAACCUGCUUUCAUCUGUGAAGAGCACAGGGCGCCAGUGGCGUAUUUGCCAAUCUUGGUGUUCUCUGGCCAAUGCCAAACGUCCUGCACGGUGUUGGGCUGUAAGCACAACCCCCACCUGUGGACGUCGGGCCCUCAUACCACCCUCAUGGAGUCUGUUUCUGACCGUUUGAGCAGACACAUGCACAUUUGUGGCCUGCUGGAGGUAAUUUUGCAGGGAUCUGGCAGUGCUCCUCCUGCUCCUCCUUGCACAAAGGCGGAGGUAGCGGUCCUGCUGCAGGGUUGUUGCCCUCCUCCACAUCUCCUGAUGUACUGGCCUGUCUCCUGGUAGCGCCUCCAUGCUCUGGACACAACGCUGACAGACACAGCAAACCUUCUUGCCACAGCUCGCAUUGAUGUGCCAUCCUGGAUGAGCUGCACUACCUGAGCCACUUGUGUGGGUUGUAGACUCCAUCUCAUGCUACCACUAGAGUGAAAGCACCGCCAGCAUUCAAAAGUGACCAAAACAUCAGCCAGGAAGCAUAGGAACUGAGAAUUGGUCUGUGGUCACCACCUGCAGAACCACUCCUUUAUUGGGAGUGUCUUGCUAAUUGCCUAUAAUUUCCACCUGUUGUCUAUUCCAUUUGCACAACAGCAUGUGACAUUUAUUGUCAAUCAGUGUUGCUUCCUAAGUGGACAGUUUGAUUUCACAGAAGUGUGAUUGACUUGGAGUUACAUUGUGUUUAAGUGUUCCCUUUAUUUUUUGAGCAGUGUAUUUCAAAUAACUCUGAAAUGUUAAUGUCACUGAAGGAAUUUACCAUCUUAAUCAGGAUCUCUUUGUUUGGGAUGGGACAGUGACCUAUCCUCCACCCUUCUCCUGCUCCAUUUGACUCCUCCAUCACAAGGCCGCAAAAGACCAGGAAAUAUGUCUGCAUCCCAAGCUGAACAGCAUCUUGUCAUAUUCUAAAAGGCAGGAACCAGUAUCCAGGAGCACCUUGAUGCGAUUGACCAGAGCCGCCAACCAUAUCUUCUUGCAGUCGGGACCAGGAAGAGCAGCAUCCAUGCUUACUUCAUCAUCCUGGACAAGCGAGCCUUGCUGUGCAAGUCAAUGAGAGCUCUUGUUGCCUUCGAUGAGCUUGCAACAUGUACACCAUCAUACAAACAAUUGUGUACAACAUAGACAUUGGGACGGUUAAGGAGACUCCAAGGGUUGCUGAGCUCAGAGCUUUUUUAAAGAUGGAGUUAACUUUGAUUUGGAAGAUGGACUAUAUAUGAAGAGACAUCCUCUCUUUUCUAAAGAGGUAAAAUGUGUUGCAAAUUCAACUCUUAUGACUUUGAGACCGCUAAUCCAUUGGGAUCGAAAAAGGAUAUUCACAAGUUGGGAAAUGUUACCCCAAAGUUGAAUUCAAUGUUGGUAAAUAUUCACUUUUCCAUACCCAGGACCUUAAAACUUAUGGAUUGGAUUCCAUUCUUGAGCCAAUAGUAAGUGAUUUGAAAGUGCUUGAGACUGAGGGUAUUGAAGUUCCCUUCUUCAGUGGUUGUAUACAUGGCAGUAUUGUCCAAGUAACUGGAGAUAAUCUUGGUAUACAUUACCUGUUCUGUUUUGUGGAAUCAUUUAGUGCUCGUUAUUGUUGCUGUUUUUGCCACACUGGGAAAUGCACUCAGACCAUUGUCAAACUAUUCAGUCAAAUUCAACACUACCUCAUGUGUACGGUGUGAAGCAUGCUUGCUUAUUGAACUCUAUGCAGUACUUCAAUACCACAGACAAUUUUUCUGUUGACAUAAUGCAUGACAUUUUAGAAGGAGUUGCACAACUUGAGGUAACUUGUGUUACAAUAUAUACAAGCCAACUUUGUGACUGCUAAAGAUGGUAGAGUUUGUUCAUUUUACUAUGGCUACACAGAGAGGAGGAAUUUUCUACCUGCACUCAAAUUGGAUGAUGAGGGCAAUGAUUUGGGUCUAAAGGCUAUUCAGUCUUGGUGUCUUUUCCGUAAUUUGCCAUUGAUAUUUGGUGAUCUGGUACAGAAAGAUGAUAAAUACUGGCAGCUGCUUUUGUUACUACUACAAAUUGUAAAUAUUGUGUUUUCUCCUAUACUAACAGAGGGCAUGACUAUCUAUCUGACGCACUUACUUGCUAAACAUCAUAGGCUUUUCGUGUAUUUGUUUCCUGAUAGAAAUCUGUUACCGAAACACCACUUCAUGAUGCAUUAUCCUCGUUGUAUAAGGAAUAUUGGGCCCAUUCUUCAUUCGUGGUGUAUGCCCUAUGAAGCUAAACAUGAUUUCUAUAAAAAGCAACUGAAGAGUUUUAAAUUACCUUAGUCAAGAAACACCAAAAUGACAUGGCAUAUAAUUGGGAAACGUUCAGCCAGGAUAGACUAGCUGUAGGUCCAGGAAAGAUGUCAAGGCUCAAUGAGCUGAAAGAAAGCCAUGAGAUUGCUGCCAAGCUGAAUGUCUCAGUGCACACAAAUGUUUUGUCAGUUAAAUGGGUAUAGCACCAUGGUACAGAAUAUCGUCUUGAUUUGGUCAUAUCUGGUGAAGUAGUCAUUGAAAUGCCAGUAUUUUACAAAAUUAAGGCUAUUUUUCUGAAAGAGAAAUGUUUUUUGGGGUUGGGUCAGCUCUUGAAACCUUGUGUUUUGAUGAUCAUUUGCAUGCAUUUAAAGCUGUUUUGAAGCAAAGUCCACCAUGCAAGGUAUUUCAGGUAAAUGAUAUAAUUUACCACAAACCUUUUCAUUUGCUCAUGUCAUAUGGAGCAAGGGAUUCUUUUGACUACAUUGUACUCUUACUUGAUAACAGUUUAAGCCAGGGCUGGGACUUGUGGUUUGGUCAUA